rnacentral:lncRNA from 1 species
CACUGCUACUAAUUUCGUAUGCAUUAAAUUGUUAAUGCCUUUUAGUAGUCUUUAUGUUUAUUCAUACUUUUUGUUUACGAUAACUAAAUUUGUUUUUGCAACAUCCCUGUACAUGCUGUAAAUGUUACGGUUUCAAUUAGAAGUGGGAAAUUUAAAGACGUAUCGUAUCCGUAUCUGAUACGUUGACGCAUCCAAACGUAUAAAGCGUUAUUAACAUUUAAAAUGCUUUAAAUAAGAAAAUCUUAUAGCAAAUCCACA